UGAACGCUGGCGGCGUGCCUAAUACAUGCAAGUCGAGCGAACAGACGAGGAGCUUACUCCUCUGACGUUAGCGGCGGACGGGUGAGUAACACGUGGAUAACCUACCUAUAAGACUGGGAUAACUUCGGGAAACCGGAGCUAAUACCGGAUAACAUGUUGAACCGCAUGGUUCAACAGUGAAAGACGGUCUUGCUGUCACUUAUAGAUGGAUCCGCGUCGCAUUAGCUAGUUGGUAAGGUAACGGCUUACCAAGGCAACGAUGCGUAGCCGACCUGAGAGGGUGAUCGGCCACACUGGAACUGAGACACGGUCCAGACUCCUACGGGAGGCAGCAGUAGGGAAUCUUCCGCAAUGGGCGAAAGCCUGACGGAGCAACGCCGCGUGAGUGAAGAAGGUCUUCGGAUCGUAAAACUCUGUUAUUAGGGAAGAACAAAUGUGUAAGUAACUAUGCACGUCUUGACGGUACCUAAUCAGAAAGCCACGGCUAACUACGUG
rnacentral:rRNA from 1 species